rnacentral:rRNA from 1 species
UACGUAGGGGGCAAGCGUUAUCCGGAUUUACUGGGUGUAAAGGGAGCGUAGACGGUUGUAUAAGUCUGGAGUGAAAGCCCGGGGCCCAACCCCGGGACUGCUUUGGAAACUGUGUAACUUGAGUACAGUAGAGGUGGGCGGAAUUCGUGGUGUAGCGGUGAAAUGCUUAGAUAUCACGAAGAACUCCGAUUGCGAAGGCAGCUCACUGGACUGCAACUGACACUGAGGCUCGAAAGUGUGGGUAUCAAACAGG